CCUGGUUGGAUACCUGCCAGUAGCAUAUGCUUGUCUCAAAGUUUAAGCCAUGCAUGUAUAAGUCCACACGGCGGGAAAGUGAAACUGCGAAUGGCCUCAUUAAAUCAGGUUAUGUUCCUUUGAUCGCUCACCCGCUACUUGGGAUAAAACUGUGGCAAUCUAGAGCUAAUACAUUGCACAAACGAGCGCUGACCUCCGGGGAUGCGUGCAUUUAUCAGACCUAAAAACCCGGCGCGGGCGUCGCCGCGUGGCGGCCCCCGGCCUGUUAUGGUGACUCUAAGAUAACCUUGGCGAUCGCUCGCCCUCGCGGCGGCGACGACUCAUUCGAAUGUCUGCCCUAUCAACUUUCGAUGGUACUCUAUGUGCCUACCAUGGUGACCACGGGUAACGGGGAAUCAGGUUGAAUUCCGGAGAGGAGCCUGAAGAAAUGGCUACCACAUCAAGGAAGGCAGCAGGCGCGCCAAUUACCAUUCACGACUCGUGGAGGUAGUGACGAAAAAUAUAACAAUACAGGACUCUUUCGAGCCCUGUAAUGGAAUGAGUGUACUUUAAAUCCUUUGCCAGUACCAAUUGGAGGGCAAGUCUGGUUGCCAGCAGCCGCGGUAAUUCCAGUUCAAUAGCGUAUCUUAAAGUUGCUGCAGUUAAAAAGCUCGUAGUUGGAUCUCGGGCCGCUGACGGUCCGCCGAAAGGGCGUGCCACCGACUGUCCCGGCACCCUGCCCCUCGCGCCCCCUCGAUGCUCUUGGUUGAGUGUCUGCGGUCGAAGCGUUUACUUUGGAAAAAUUAGAGUGUUCAAAAGCAGGCCCAGUUGCACGAAUACUGCAGCUAGGAAUAAUGGGUAGAGACUCCGGUUCUAUUUGUGGUUUUCUCAAUGACUGGGCCAUGAUUAAGAGGACGGCCGGGGGCAUUCGUAAUGCGCCGCUAGAGGUGAAAUUCUGUGGACCGCGCAAAGACGGACGAAGCGAAAGCAUUUGCCAGAAUGUUUUCAUUAAUCAAGAAGAAAGUCGGAGGUUCGAAGACGAUCAGAUACCGUCGUAGUUUCCGACCAUAAACAGAUGCGACUAGCGAUCCGCGGCGCUUAUUCCAACACCCGCCGGGAAGCUACCCGGAAAACCAAAGUCUUUGGGUUCCGGGAGUAUGGUUGCGAAAGCUAAACUUAAAGAAUUGACGGAAGGGCACCACCAGGAGUGGAGCCUGCGGCUUAAUUUGACUCAACACGGGAAACACCUCACCCGCCGACACGGAAAGGAUUGACAGAUUGAUAGCUCUUUCUCGAUACUGUGGGUGGUGUGUGCAUGGCCGUUCGUAGUGUGGAGCGAUUUGUCUGGAUUAAUUCCGGACAACGAACGAGACUUCUGGCAGGCUAAAUAGUUACGCGGCCCCGUGCGCGUCGGCGUCCAGAACUCUUAGAGGACAAGUGGCGUACAGCCACACGAGAUUGAGCAAAUUAACAGGGUCUUGUGAUGCCCUAGAUGUCCGGGCUGCACGCGCCGACACACUGAGCGGAUCAGCGUGUGCCUGCCUUCGCCGACCAGGCGUGGUAACCCGCUGAACCCGCUCGUGAUGGGAUUUUGGGGAUUGAAACUAUUUCCCAAUGAACGAGGAAUACCCAGUUAAGCCGGUCACAAGCUCGUGUUGAUAUAAGUCCCUGCCCUUUGUACACACCGCCCGUCGCUACUACCGAUUGGUGGCUAAGUGAGGUCCUCGGAUCGGCCCCGCCGGAGUCUUCCACGGCUACUGCGCGCGUGCCGAGAAGACGAUCAAACUUGACUAUCUGAGAGAAGUAAAAGUCUAACCAAGGUUUCCGUAGGUGACCUGCGAAGG
rnacentral:rRNA from 1 species